GCGGGGAGCCGGGGCAGACGUCUGUAGCGCCCCCUCCCGAGGAGGUCGAGCCGGGCAGUGGGGUCCGCAUCGUGGUGGAGUACUGGUGAGCGGCCCCGGCUGGAGGACCCCCACCCUGGUCCCGCGGGCCGGACGGAGGUGGGUCCACGGGAGGCCCCACCCCCGAAUCCCCAGCCCAGCCCCAUCUCUUGACUCCCCAGUGAACCCUGCGGCUUCGAGGCGACCUACCUGGAGCUGGCCAGUGCUGUGAAGGAGCAGUAUCCGGGCAUCGAGAUCGAGUCGCGCCUGGGGGGCACAGGUGCCUUUGAGAUAGAGAUAAAUGGACAGCUGGUGUUCUCCAAGCUGGAGAAUGGGGGCUUUCCCUAUGAGAAAGAUCUCAUUGAGGCCAUCCGAAGAGCCAGUAAUGGAGAACCCCUAGAAAAGAUCACCAACAGCCGUCCUCCCUGCGUCAUCCUUUGACUGCACAGGACUCUGGGUUCCUGCUCUGUUCUGGGGUCCAAACCUUGGUCUCCCUUUGGUCCUGCUGGGAGCUCCCCCUGCCUCUUUCCCCUACUUAGCUCCUUAGCAAAGAGACCCUGGCCUCCACUUUGCCCCUUUGGGUACAAAGAAGGAAUAGAAGAUUCCGUGGCCUUGGGGGCAGGAGAGAGACACUCUCCAUGGACACUUCUCCAGCCACCUCAUACCCCCUUCCCAGGGUAAGUGCCCACGAAAGCCCAGUCCACUCUUCACCUCGGUAAUACCUGUCUGAUGCCACAGAUUUUAUUUAUUCUCCCCUAACCCAGGGCAAUGUCAGCUAUUGGCAGUAAAGUGACGCUACAAACACUAA
rnacentral:sRNA from 1 species